rfam:Triticum urartu cultivar G1812 contig967772, whole genome shotgun sequence.
GAUAUACACCCUCUAUCCCAAAAUUCUUGUUUUACAUUUGUCUAGAUAUGAAUGUAUCUAAUACUAAAAUGUGAUUUGAUACAUCUGUAUCUAGAAAAAUCUAAGAUAAGAAUUUUGGAACGGAGGGAGUAUAUU